GGCAGACACUUCAGCCCCCCUGCUGAAGAGGGUCUACUAUGAGAACUGUCCGGGGUGCAAGAUGGAUCAGCAGAAGGAGCAAAAUGAAGGGAUGCCUUACAAGGAGUUCUUCUACGUGUGGGUGAUGACUCUCUGCACUGCUCUACCAAUAUCAUCACUCUUCCCGUUCUUGUACUUCAUGAUACGAGACUUGCAUAUCGCGAAAAGGACAGAAGACAUUGGAUUUUAUGCAGGUUUUUUGGGUGCUUCGUUUAUGGCUGGUAGAGCAUUAAGUUCCAUAUUUU
rnacentral:misc_RNA from 1 species